rnacentral:rRNA from 1 species
UACGGAGGGUGCGAGCGUUGUCCGGAAUUACUGGGCGUAAAGGGCGCGUAGGCGGACAGUUUAGUCAGAGGUGAAAGCCCAGGGCUCAACCUUGGAAUUGCCUUUGAUACUGGCUGUCUUGAGUUCGGGAGAGGUGAGUGGAAUGCCGAGUGUAGAGGUGAAAUUCGUAGAUAUUCGGCGGAACACCAGUGGCGAAGGCGACUCACUGGCCCGAUACUGACGCUGAGGCGCGAAAGCUAGGGGAGCAAACGGG